GCACAGAAUGUGCCAAGGAACCAAAAUUAUUCCACUGCCCCCCGUUGGCACCGGAGACGGUGCCCUCGCGGGACGUGUGAUGCUGAUAAUAUAUAAACGACUCUCGGCAACGGAUAUCUAGGCUCUUGCAUCGAUGAAGAACGUAGCGAAAUGCGAUACUUGGUGUGAAUUGCAGAAUCCCGUGAACCAUCGAGUUUUUGAACGCAAGUUGCGCCCAAAGCCAUUAGGUUGAGGGCACGUCUGCCUGGGCGUCACAUAUCGUUGCCCUGUGCCCCAUGCCUAUUGAUAGGCACCGUGCAGGGCGAAUGUUGGCUUCCCGUGAGCUCUUUUGCCUCAUGGUUGGCUGAAAACUGAGUCCUUGGUAGGGUGUGUGCCAUGAUAGAUGGUGGUUGUGUGACCCACGAGACCGAUCAUGUGCAACCCUACCAGAUUUGGCCUCUAUGACCCACUUGCGUCCUUGGAUGCUCAUGACGAGAC
rnacentral:rRNA from 1 species